AAUAGAUACCCGGGUAGUCCACGCCGUAAACGAUGAGUGCUAAGUGUUAGAGGGUUUCCGCCCUUUAGUGCUGCAGCAAACGCAUUAAGCACUCCGCCUGGGGAGUACGGUCGCAAGACUGAAACUCAAAGGAAUUGACGGGGGCCCGCACAAGCGGUGGAGCAUGUGGUUUAAUUCGAAGCAACGCGAAGAACCUUACCAGGUCUUGACAUCCCGUGACAACUCUAGAGAUAGGGCUUUCCCCUUCGGGGGACACGGUGACAGGUGGUGCAUGGUUGUCGUCAGCUCGUGUCGUGAGAUGUUGGGUUAAGUCCCGCAACGAGCGCAACCCUUGAUCUUAGUUGCCAGCAUUCAGUUGGGCACUCUAAGGUGACUGCCGGUGACAAACCGGAGGAAGGUGGGGAUGACGUCAAAUCAUCAUGCCCCUUAUGACCUGGGCUACACACGUGCUACAAUGGAUGGUACAAAGGGCAGCGAAACCGCGAGGUUAAGCCAAUCCCAUAAAACCAUUCUCAGUUCGGAUUGCAGGCUGCAACUCCG
rnacentral:rRNA from 1 species